GACGAACGCUGGCGGCGUGCUUAACACAUGCAAGUCGAACGGAAAGGCCCUGCUUUUGUGGGGUGCUCGAGUGGCGAACGGGUGAGUAACACGUGAGUAACCUGCCCUUGACUUUGGUAUAACUUCAUGACACUUGGUCUAAUACCGGAUAGGAGCUCCUGCUUCAUGGUGGGGGUUGGAAAGUUUCGGCGGUUGGGGAUGGACUCGCGGCUUAUCAGCUUGUUGGUGGGGUAGUGGCUUACCAAGGCUUUGACGGGUAGCCGGCCUGAGAGGGUGACCGGCCACAUUGGGACUGAGAUACGGCCCAGACUCCUACGGGAGGCAGCAGUGGGGAAUAUUGCACAAUGGGCGGAAGCCUGAUGCAGCAACGCCGCGUGCGGGAUGAAGGCCUUCGGGUUGUAAACCGCUUUCGCCUGUGACGAAGCGUGAGUGACGGUAAUGGGUAAAGAAGCACCGGCUAACUACGUG
rnacentral:rRNA from 1 species